rnacentral:rRNA from 1 species
GUAGGUGGCAAGCGUUUGUCCGGAAUUAUUGGGCGUAAAGCGCGCGCAGGCGGUUCUUUAAGUCUGAUGUGAAAGCCCACGGCUCAACCGUGGAGGGUCACUGGAAACUGGAGAACUUGAGUACAGAAGAGGAAAGCGGAAUUCCACGUGUAGCGGUGAAAUGCGUAGAGAUGUGGAGGAACACCAGUGGCGAAGGCGGCUUUCUGGUCUGUAACUGACGCUGAGGCGCGAAAGCGUGGGGAGCAAACAGGAUUAGAUACCCUGGUAGUCCACGCCGUAAACGAUGAGUGCUAAGUGUUAGGGGGUUUUCCGCCCCCCUUAGUGCUGCAGCUAACGCAUUAAGCACUCCGCCUGGGAGUACGCCGCAAGGCUG